AUGGAUUAAUUUAUUGGAUCCUCACAACAGAGCUAUGGAGAGAUAAAGCUGGCAGCAGACAAACGAUGCAGGCAGGCAGUGAGACUCAGAUUGGGUCCUCCUGUCGGAACAGCUGGGAUAUGAUGUCCAUGCCCUCUCCCAGGACCCAGGUGGAACUUGAAUACUGAUUCAUCAUACUCACUUUUCAUUUGGAGAGUGAAUUUUGGACUGAAAUAAAGGGAGAUGUUCAGCCUCAGGUGUAGAAGCAGUGAGACAAUUUCCCACCACGGAGGAAGAUGAAGAGCAGGAGAGGAGAGGCUGGCGGCUCCCAGGAGCAGAUCACCUGCCCCCACUGCAAGGCCCCCGUGUGCUCAAUAAACUGACCCUUGCG
rnacentral:lncRNA from 10 species